AAAUUCCUUCUAAAUUCAUUCCUUCUAGUGAAAGAGAAAGACAAGAAUGUAUUCGAUUGAUCACUGUUAUUGUGCUACUACCGUGAUCAUUUGUUGUUGUAUCCUAGGAGACAGACAUCUAAUGUUACUCAAAGCAUUGAGGAGAGGUCAAAUCUAUCUUAAGGAAAUUGUUCAUAGAGGUCUCAACAAAAUUCUUCUUCUAAUUUUCAAUUCUGUCCAAUUACAGGUAUUCUGUUGUGUAAUUGCUACUAUAUUGUAUUGCAUUAUUAUUGUUACUGACAUAUUAAUAUUACAUACGAUAUUAUAUUUUCUUACAAAAUAUACGUCCGUCGUAAGUACCAUGCAUAAUAACUCGACAAUAGUUGUUCAGUUUAGGUUGUAAGUUUGAUCCAUGUAUUUAUUUCAUACUUGGUUCAACUAAUUGUAAUUAAUAAAUGGGAGUCUAUUUUAAUGGUUGUUGACUUCACUCUAUGAAAACUCCCACUUAUCCUUCUUUUUAUUUUAUCCACAUUUUUCUAAUACACUCAAUCUCAAGCCCUUAAGAUAUCUAACCUAUUGGAUUUUUUUUUCUUAGCUCUCGAUGGGAAAAUGGUUGGCCACAUAAUCAAUUUGGUUAAUUUAUGUAUAUAUGUUGAAAAAAAAAUUAAGUGAGAAACUAUGCUGAAAUCUUAAAAAUUUAUCGAUCUACAUUGUUUUUGGAGAGAGAAAGGAAAACGCAUUUUCCAGGGUGCGUUUUCAUUGCCACUUCAGUGAAAAUGUGCCUUGAAGGACAAGUUUUCACUUAGGUAAAAAUUCUUUUUCUUUUUUUUUUCUUGCGUUUGGAAAUUAGAAGUUUGUAGAGUUAUUUUUAUCCGUGUUUGAGAUAGACGUGAUUAUAGUUUUAAGGAAUAUUUGAAUUUAUGGUGGUGCUGUGGAGUUGGGUGACCUACAAAUUUGAUUUGUUAUGUAAGUAUGGAGUCAUCUCCUGGGAAGCCAGAUCAUGUUGCAACCCAAGCUCCCAAUUAACGAUGAUUAUAUGGUCUAAGCUUGAAGUGUAAUUAGGGCUUCAAGUUUACAAAGGUUAUGCUGUCAAGGGAUGGAGCAUAAAUGGGGUCGUAGUUGAUGGUGCUUAUGCGAGCACGAUAACAAGUUUCUUAUCAGAAGAGAAUGCUUUAUAAAACUCAAACAUAAAUGCAAGGAAAAAAAUGCAGUGACAUUUCAAUACAAUCAAGUAAUGCAUAUUAUCCACCAUCACUAAAGGCGGUGACCCCGUUAUUAUAACCCGUGACAACAAUGAGGUGUAAAAUGUUAUACUAACAAGGUCACCGCCUUUGGUGGAGAUGGAGAACACGAAUAACUUGAUUAUAUUGGAAGAUCCCUUGCGUUUUCCUUCCUCGCACUUAUGUUUGAGUUUUAUGAAACACGCACUUUUGACUCUUCUGAUGAGAAGACUUGUGUCGUGUCUAUAUUAGCACUUUUAACUAUGGCCCUAUUUAUGUGUACUCCCUUGACAGCAUAACCCUUGUAAACUUGAAGCCUUAGUUACACUUCAACUUAAGACGGUAUAAUCACUGCCAACUUACACUUCAAGUUGUAAAGUGAUCUCGACUUCUCAGGUGAUGGCCCCAUACUCAUACGAUGGGUGAAAUUUGUAGGUUACCGAGCUUGAUGACAUCACCGUGAACCCAAACACAAUUUAAAACUAUGACUAUAUCUCCCUCAAAGUGAGAGAGAAAUAAAUUUUUAAACCCAAAAAUUUCAACAUGUAAGAAGAAGAAAAAAUAAUUUAGAGGAGAUUGAGAUGUGGUAAGUAAGGGGAUGAGGGUGUUUAUAUAGGGGAUGGGGUGGGGUCCAAAGGGAAAAAAAUUAUCCUUGGUGUUAAAAUCUUUUAGGAAAUCGACUUUUUAUUUAAAAAUGAAAAUGGAGUCGCCACCAAUCUUUUUUAUUUAGGUGUAAUUAGAUCACCUCAAAACUUGUUCAUUUUAAUAAAAUGUUAGAUUUAUUAAAACGAUAAUUUUCGGUCUACAAAAUCCAAGAAAUGAGUUUGGGAGUCAGCUAAAUAUGAGGAAGGGUUAGCACCCUCAUAACGUCCAAAAUUGGUACCUAGUUGAUUUCUUAAUAUCUUGAUGUCAAGAAUUGAAAAUUUGAAGAGAAUUUAAAACAUAUUCCCUCUUUGCAUGAUGUUAUUUGAUGGUAUUGAAAAAGUCCCAAUCUAAAUUAAAUUUUUAAUGAGGAGGUAUUCUCAUUUUGGGUUGAUCAAGAUGAAAAAUCAUGUCCCGUAACUUGGGGCACAAAAUCUCGAAUUAACGAUGAUUAUAUGGUCUAAGCUUGAAGUGUAAUUAGGGCUUCAAGUUUACAAAGGUUAUGCUGUCAAGGGAUGGAGCAUAAAUGGGGUCGUAGUUGAUGGUGCUUAUGCGAGCACGAUAACAAGUUUCUUAUCAGAAGAGAAUGCUUUAUAAAACUCAAACAUAAAUGCAAGGAAAAAA
rnacentral:lncRNA from 1 species